ACUGAGCAAUCCUAGUAGCUCUGUCACUACCUGAAUAGGAGGCAGCUGAUGCCCUGAGAAGCUGAGACACCUGAGCUGGAGCCCCAGGCCUGCAUGAGCCCACUGUAGGUACUGAGAGAAACCACAGAGACUGUGGAAUGGAAUGACUCUCCAGAGCUGCAGAUUGAAGGCAUAUUUUCAUCUGACUUUGAUCUCAAUGGCGGGAACACCUUCAUGGCCCCUUUAUAGCUGGAUGAUCAUUUCCUGUUCUCUCCACCAUGGCCACCUGGUCCAAGCCACCAUCUUCAUGCACCUGGAUACCUGCCAUAACCUCAGCUGACCUUUCCUGUGUCCAUUCUUGUUCCUUUGGGCCCAGUCUCCUCGCUCAUAGCAGCAGAAUGAGUCUAUUAAAAAGUGAAACAAUUUCUGUCACUUCCUGGCUCAAAAGUCUCCAAUAGUUUCCCCAUGGAUUGGAAUAAAAUGUAGGUUCUAACCAUGGGGUACCAUGUAAGUUUAGGUUCACCUGUAAGUCACAGGAAAAAAAAAUAUAUAUAUAUAUAUGUAUAUAUCACACACACAC
rnacentral:lncRNA from 10 species